rnacentral:rRNA from 1 species
GUCUAUGGCCAUUCUACCCUGAAUGUGCCUGAUCCUGUCUGAUCUCAGAAGCUAGGUGGGGUUGGGCCUGUUUAGUAUUUGAUGGGAGCAAUAUCAUUGAUA